rnacentral:lncRNA from 1 species
AUUAUGUCUAUAAAUAAUAGUUUACUUUGUGCUUUUCACACGAGAUUAUAACUAUGGCUAUGUCAUUUACUUGGUUUGAUAGACACCAAAAACAUUUUAUGCACAUAUCAAAUCAAAACAACUAUAAGAUGCAGUUCCAUAGUAACAAAAAUAUAAUCUAUCAUGCAUCAGUGAAAAAAAAAAGCAAUGUGGUGUACUGGUGUACCUAAUCCAUCACUGAAGGAACCAAAACUACUCAUACUGGUUUUCAAGUGCAAAUUUCAACAAGAGUCCAAGCAGAUAGUGGCCUGCUCGUCGCAGAAACACAAUGAGUAAUCCUAAAAGUUUAGCAACAGAUACCAAGUAAUUAGGCUGAAGAGAUAAUAACCUGGCAAGACGAGUGUAGAGCAACUGCUUGGACAAUUCAUUGCAUUUUUCAACAGUUGGUGGCUCCACAAUAUACUGUUUGUUCUGCUCCAGCAACUGUUUGUAGUAGCCAGUACCAUGCUUAGAAAGAAACUGUGAAGCUUGACAUGCCUUAGAUUGCAGUUGCUGAAUCUUGGAUGCCAUCAAUACCAAGAAAGUCCUGGGACCCAACAAUAAAAAGAAAUAAAAUCAAACAUCUAACCAGCUAACAAAGCAGACGUACUCCCUCUCUAGCACGCUGGAGGAUACAAUGGAAACUAGGAGGCAGGCAGAAAGUAGCUGGGAAGGCCACACCCUUUUGUAUUUUUGGUUAUUAUGUAGAGAAGUAAAGUAAAAAAAAAAUGAAGGAUUGAGAAUCCGUUGCGAGCCAAAUGUUCUUCCUUUCUCCUACAAGAUAACCAAUUAUAUAGAAGUUGGUCAGAUGUCUGGCGGGCUUGAUGGACUUUCUUAUACUGAUUGUCUCGGAGUUGUACAAAUUGAUUCUUAUAAUUAUCCUAAAAUAAGGGACCAGACAUACAACACCCCCCCCCCCCCAANNNNNNNNNNNNNNNNNNNNNNNNNNNNNNNNNNNNNNNNNNNNNNNNNNNNNNNNNNNNNNNNNNNNNNNNNNNNNNNNNNNNNCCCCCCCCAAAACACCUCAAAGGCCAGUUUUGCAACUUUUUUCAAUUUAAAAGAUGCCACAUAAAAACUAUUACACCAUUUUGUUCCAGAGACUUAGAAAAACAGGUAGCAGUAAAGAUCUAGCGUGAAAAAGGUUCAAAAUAUAGCAUGGCAGUUGCCACUUCCCUCAUAAAAGCCAUUUAGCAAUCUAAUCCGGAAUCAAAUGAGCCUUUUGAUCAAGUAGUUUUGAACAUGAGUAAACCAAAAUACCAUGCUCCCAUAUGCGUAAACCUAGAAUGACUUUACAUAGAUCACCUUUAUUUCUGUAGUUCGUUUUAAAUGUUCUAAACUAAGAACAUAGCUGACUCUCAAAUCCAAAUUUUUUUCCAAAUAAUCAAUCAACUGAACCUCAAGCAAAUCUAUAUGAAUAUCUAUAUCUAUUUUACUCUAUUUCAGCCCAGUUUUAAAUUUCCUUGAAUACUUUUUUCCCAGACAAAUCAGACAAAAACCAGGGACACUACUAAAAAGUGGCAAGUCCAAGCAUAUAAUCAUUGGAAUUCUAACUAUAUCUCCGUCCCAAACAAGUUAGGGUCGGCUAUGCGAAUCCUCACUGACCAUGUUCCACAUUAAAUUUAUCUGACCAACAUCACACAAAAUAAAAAUAAAAACGAAAAGGCACUAGAAGAGAUCCAUAUUUUCUACUAGCAUGGGAUGAGGCUAAAAGACCCUGAAAAAGCAUAGAUUUAUCGGUAUUCUAACGUGCACAAGAAAAAAGAUAGCUUUUUCUCGGUAGUUUAGUUGACAAACUACAAGAAAUUUCUCUCAAACCCCUUCAAAUAAAAGCUGAUGUUUUCCUAGCUAGUUCCAAUUCUAUCUCACAAAACAGAUUGAAUAUCAUCAGUCAUAGCUGAGUCAAAUCAAUAAACCUAAAGUCUUAUCAUCUUCCAGAAACAGGGUUUGAUCCAAAUCUUAAGCUAUGGUUCAGUCAAACCCAAUACCUUCGGCCUACACCUUAUACCAUUGUAUGAGACUCCAUCCAGUUCCAAAUCCUCCAAUACUUCUCAAUGGUACUUCAAAAUUUAAGCCAUGUGUCCAAUCAAAAUUUAAAGGCUGGGAUAUAAUCACUUUCUUCCUUUUAUUUGAUCUUUCUUCCUUCCGUGGUCUCAACUUCUCAGGUCCAAAUGAUUGUGCAUAAUCCAUAAAGCUCCUCUCCGGAAAUAUAGUGACAAAUUGCUAAUGCAAGUUGGAGGAAAGAAAUUAAAAAACUGAGUACAAUGUUCUUGCUGAGGAGAUAUUCGUGUUCUGUAUUUAGGAGAUGUGUGAAGGAGAAAAUCAAGCCUUCAAAAUUUUAUAAGAACAUGUCGCAGCAAUCAAGAUCUACGUUGAGAUGCAAGAGAGCAUUUGGUACUUGAGGUGAUCCAGACUCUUUUUAACUUAAAAGGAAUAAACUUUAGAUAUGAGCAACUUAACAAUUAAAGAUCUGCAGGCAGGCGAAUAAUUAAGUUUUAAGACUCAAUUGUGAUAAUUUUUAUAUAUUUGCUACUUUGACAUCUAGAAUUUGUUGCGAUUAGUUUCUUUUGAUUUCAAAAUUAAAGAAACUAAUGAUUAAAAAAAAUUUAAUCUCUCAAUCUGAAACCAAAGCAAAAACUAGUCCAAAUUAAACUCUGUUCGGUUCAGUUCGGUUUUGUUUUAACCCCAAUAAUGCACACUCCUAGUUAUUAGGGGUUGUGCACUCUAUCCGAAAUUUACAAACUCAAUAAAAUUCAAAUCCUGAAUCCUCCUUUGACCACCAAAAACACAACAUAUAAACCUAUAACAAAUUCAAUCUCUUAUACACGUGCCUAAGUGUAUAUCUUGUGCUUUUAUUAUAUAAUCAUACCAAAUGAGAUCUGACAGAAACUGUUUAGCAAAACGUUGAAAUAAACCAAUUAAUCAAUCAACCAACUACACUUCAAUCCUAAACUAAUCGAAUCCGCUAUAUGAAUCACCUAUUUCCAUUUUGCUCUAUUCGAGCCAAUUUCAUUUCAUAACAAAUAUAUUGUACUAAUAAGGAAGAAAAAACAGGGGGAAGAAAGUCAAAUCAAACUAAUUAAGAGCAGAAUAGAGUAAAAAUAGAGCUCAAAAUUUACCUUUCGUCUGCGAUUUGCAGUAAUACUACAGGCGAUGUUUUUGCUUCAGUCGCCGAUAGCAGUGACCCUAGCUUUUUGAUAGAGGCUUCUAUGAAUAUCGUGAAUCGGAGAUUUUCUACCUUCCCACUGAAAGUUGUGGUUAUUACGGUUUGCACCCCAAGGAAAAGUUAGUAGUCCACUUGUGAUGCACUAAGUUUAGAUUUAUUUCUAUUUCCCUCUUUUCUUUAUAUACUACUCCACUAUUAACUCCCUUUUCUUUUUGUGGUUUCUCAUUUGGUGUCGGGUACCCGGAGUCAUGUUAACUGGUCUCACACUAGGAGUUAUAAUGUUCCCUAAUAGUAAAAUUUCUUAUGUAUUAACUAUGGCGCCGUUUCGAAAAGCUAAAACCAAAAUUAGUGGCUAUGAGGGCGAAACAAUUGAGUCCACUAAGCCACACUUUUCGGUUCAAGCCCUGACAAUUGAACAAAAUUCUACUACUGAGCGCGUCCUUUUUUUAACAGUCUUACACGAUAUAAAUUCAGAUUAGUCAGAGUUAGGGCAUGUACCGAGCACCAAAUAAAAACCACACCAAUAAAGUUAGAAACGAAUCUUUUUAGUCGUUUAUAAAAAUAAUAGCCAAUAAAAUAUAUAUUUUUUGCACAUAUUAAUAUUAUAUAAAUAUAAUAUACAUAUUUUAUGCACGUUUUGCUUAACGAAUGCCAUUAAUUUUGGUGAACAUGCCAAUUUUAUAUUUUGCCCAAAUAAAAACAAGCUAGUCACAAUUAGAACUGAUGUUUAUGAGCUCGAAUUUUACAAACCCCUUAUUGUUUAUGUCCAAUUGAGUCUUCGUUACUCUCUUAAACUACUUCCAUGAAAGAAAAAGAAAAACAGCGGAUAAGUUUGGUUUGGCGAUUUCAACUUCAUAGCUAGCUGUUCGCAGUUUAGAUUAGCGGCUUAACCUCUACAAUAACAGUUGUAAUUGUCGCUGUUUUAGAUAUCUUGUGAACUGGAAUUUAGUUUUCAUUUUGAGUCAACCAAUAUAAAGGAAGUGAACAAACUUAUACUAUAUAGUAUUAUAUAAUUAUAUUCUACUUUGAAAGUUUAACCUUAUAAGGAACACUAACAAAGACAGCACACUGUCAUAGGCAGCAGUAUCAUUCAACAAGUAAAAUUACUAUUACAAAGUUCAAUCUAAGCCUCUCCACUGAAGUGGGAACAAGAUGAGCGAAAAUUGGUAAAUUAUUGCAUCGAUUUAAACACUGAUUUCACGGAUCCAAAAACUUUUUUGGGAGACAAAAUCUGGUAUGAAUUCACUGUCACUCAAAUCAUACUAAUAAAAAGAGAGACCUCACAGUUGUCAAUCUGAACAAACAAAUUUUUGGAAACUGAUAUCUCAGACAUAGUAACCAGUGAAUGUAAAUCCUCUUCCUACUAUCUCACCAGCACAAUACCAUGCAAAGCACUCCAAACCGAACAAAGCAGCAAUGCCUGCAUCUUCAACCUUCAAUUCCUUUCUAUUCCUCCACAUGUGCUUGACAGAAUCGACUUCCUUCCAAAAUGACUCGUAACGGCCAGGGAUGCUGGAGGGAGUGGAAAAGGUUCAAUAUUCAAAGAACAAAUGACACUCAUAAUGGCAAGUAACAACAACAACAACCCAGUAUAAUCCCACUGAGUGCGGUCUGAGGAGGGUAGUAUGUACUCAGACCUUACCCCUACCCUUGGGCAGAGAGGAUGUUUCCAAAUAGACCCCCGGCAUCCUUCCCUCCAAGAACUUCCCACCUUGCUCUUGGGGAGACUCGAACUCACAACCUCUCGGUUGGAAGUGAGGUUGCUUACCAUCAGAGCAACCCAUCUUGUCAAGUAAGCUACUUAAAAAUGUAUAUAAUGUAAAGAUGCAUACAACUCCACUUGGAUUUCUUAGGAUAAAAAUGAUCAUUGAAAUCUCAGACACGGGAGGCAUGUGGAGGGUGAAAUAAAGCAAUAUCAACUAAAGAUGUCUUUGGCCACCAUAUUUGGUUGCAUUACAUGCGGAAUGAUAAGUUCACACAAUAACAUUUUAUUAUGGAGCAUAGAAUUGCCUAUAAUAAUCUUUUCUUAAUAGGGAAUCGCCUAUAAUAAUCUUAAAGAAGAGAAUUUUACGAUUAUGUCUGUGAAUAAUAAUCUAUGUUGUGCUUUUUAACAUGAGAUUACGACUAUGGCUAUAUUAUUUACUUCGUUUGACACACACCUAAAAACAUUUAAUGCACAUUAUCAUGCGAAAAACCUUUCACUUAAAAACCAUAUCAAAUCAAAAAGAACUAUAAUAUGCAGCCCACAAAAAAAAAUACUGUGCAUCAGUGAAUCUACUAUCCUAAAUGCUUAGCAACAGAUAUCAAGUAAUUAGACUGAAGAGAGUAUAACCUAGCAAGACGAGUGUAGAGCAACUGCUUGGACAACUCAUUGCAUUUUUCAACAGUAGGUGGCUCCACAAUAUACUGUUUGUUCUGCUCCAGCAACUGUUUGUAGUAGCCAGUACCAUGCUUAGCAAGAAACU